CUGGCAAGCCCCGAGGCAGGGAUGGCCGGCCCAGGAGGGAGGAGGACGACGUCCCUCCCGGGGAGAAGAGGCUGCGGCUGUUGCUGGAGGGGGGAAGAGCACAGCCCUAGGACUGCGAGGACGGGGAGGACGCGCCGCGGCCGGGCAGGGAGGAGACCGGCACCCAGACAGGUGGCGACGGCAGAGGAAUGUUUACUGAGCACUUGCUCUGUGCCAGGCGCUGUCCCAGGUGCUGGUCCUGCAGGAGUAUGUGGAGCCUAGAGUUUGAUGAGGGAGGAGCCAUUGAUGAAAUGCCACCCAAGAAGACUGCAACAGACGCUGUUGAAGCCUGCAGCAGAUGCUGUGGGAACCUCACUCAACCCCUCAGCUCUCACCUUUGAGGAUUACUGUCCACAAACAAACAAACAGCACCAAAACUCCCAACAAUAAGAACAACAGAAAUCCCACCUAAGGCACCAAAGGCUUGGUGAGCAUGGAUGCAUGGCAAAACUGCCUCCUGAAGGGUAAGAUGGCUGGAACACUGCUCCCUGGUGAGCCCAUUAGGUGCCUUUCUAUCAUCAGGGAUUUGAGUGGCCUGUUUGGAGGAUAGGUCCUGGUUGGAUCGGGAGGAGUCAGGAGAGCUCCCCUGCAGCCCAUGGAACCAGAGAGGAUGGUAGAGGCCUCUGCGGUGUCCUUAGCAAGCCAACUCCCUCCCUCCCUCCCUCCCUUCCUUCCUUCCCUCCUCCCUCCCUUCCUCCCUUCCAUCCUUUCUUCUCUCCCUCACUAAACAAAUAUUUACUGAGCCCUUCCUAAGUACCAGGACCUGUUCUGGACCUUGGGGAUUGUAUUUACCAUGUGUUUUUUCUGAUGCUUUGACAUCUGAGGUCUUGCUGACCUUGGAGAGACUUCUAGGGUUAGCCACCUCCCAGAAAGUAAACAACUCUCCUAGGGGCGCCCCUUUCAUGUGCAAACCAACCAAUCCAGAGCUUUCUCUCCCCACCACCUUCUCUAUGGAGUUCUCACACUCAGGGCCACUAUCCCCCUCCCUAGUCACCUCAGGGCCACGUACCAGACAACUAGGGGACAGCCCCGAUGACCCAGAGCCCAUUGAAAUUAUCCAAACUAGCCAAUCGUAAACCUGCUCACACUGUCUCGUCCGUUCCUCCCUGAGGAAGCCAGAAGAAAGGAUUUCUCUCCUGUUUUCACCCACUCCCUGUGCCUCCUGACUGACCCCGGUGCUUCCCCCAUGGCUCUGCAGAUCUUGGUGUGCCCACUCCUCUUGGGAACUAACAGAGGGAAUUUCCUGGAAGGCAGGGUCUGUGUUCAUCUCCCACAGAGCAUAGAGCACAGUGGAUGCUGAGGAAAUGGUGAAUGCUGGAAAGGAGCAACAGGAUGCCAAGGCCAGAAGUUCACCUUUGUGACCAAACUGGCUGAAACUGGUGAGAUGCAAGACGGCAGCUCACUUGACCUCCAAAGAACCUCUAACUUCAUUAUAAUAUAAUUUCCUUGCUAAAUGACACUCCCAUCAGUGUCAUGACAGUUGACAUUGCCAUGACAAUGGCCAGAAGAAACCAUAAAGGGACAAAAAGGAAGGUAGUAACUCUGGUUCCAAGGAGUUCUCCCAUUUCCAGAAAAGACAUGGAUAUUCCUCCCCUUGCUUUUAAUGCCCAACUUUUUCAUUAAAGAUGAAGCCUGUAUCUAUGGUUUCCCAGCUCUCAGGAGCUGAGAAGUUGAUUUGUGAGCCAAACUCCCACUUCUCAAUAAAGGCCGUCGAAUAAAGCAUGCACUGUUUCAUGCUUACUUUUGGGUUCGUGUAUUGGCUUCACAGCACAGAACAGGAAAAGGCUCCAUCUUCUGGGGGACAGGCUUUGUUGGUAACAAAAGGACUGGCCCAGAGUCAGAGUUAGGAAGUGAUAAAGCCAGGUGUCUGCC
rnacentral:lncRNA from 1 species